AACGAACGCUGGCGGCAGGCUUAACACAUGCAAGUCGAACGCAUCCUUCGGGGUGAGUGGCAGACGGGUGAGUAACGCGUGGGAACGUGCCCUUCAGUUCGGGAUAACCCAGGGAAACUUGGGCUAAUACCGGAUACGUGCGAGAGCAGAAAGAUUUAUCGCUGAAGGAUCGGCCCGCGUCUGAUUACCUAGUUGGAGGGGUAAUGGCCCACCAAAGCGACGAACAGUAGCUGGUCUGUGGGGAUGAUCAACCACAUUGGGACUGAGAAACGGCCCAAACUCCUACGGGAGGCAGCAGUGGGGAAUAUUGGAAAAUGGGCGCAAGCCUGAUCCAGCCAUGCCGCGUGAGUGAUGAAGGCCUUAGGGUUGUAAAGCUCUUUCGUCCGGGACGAUAAUGACGGUACCGGAAGAAGAAGCCCCGGCUAACUUCGUGCCAGCCGCCGCGGUAA
rnacentral:rRNA from 1 species